UUGGCCGACGGAUAAUAUAGGCGCCAAUUGUGCGUGCCAUGUUUCUCACAUAGGAGAGAGACAGAGAGAAAAUGAAUGAAAAAUAUAUUUCCUGCUCUCCAACUGUGGCUUAAGAACAACUUGCAGCUGAUGUUUAUCUUAACUCCUCUUUCAGUGUUUCUGGAAAUUAACGCUUUGGAGACUUGGAGGUGUUCAUUAUGCUCAGCUGUUUGGAGUAACAUGAUGGAACGUUUUGAGAAGCAUGGUGUGAAACAGUGGUGAGAAAACCAGACAAGACCCCUGCCCUCAUGGAGCUUAGAAUCUAGUGAGAGACAGAUAUCAAUGCAAAUAACAGAGAGUGAAAACCAUCCGGAAACAUGACGAUGGGUCUCUCCAAGGAAGAUACUGGCAGAGACAUCUAUUACUGCCCAGAAAUCUCCAUCAAAAGCUUCAUUGAUAAUCUCAUCAAGCACAGACAAGACGCCUCCACAACAAGGCUGAUGAGUGGAAUAGAGCUGCACCUGGGAUCUGAACCCGUGAACCCCAGGCCACUGAAGAGGAGUGUGCGGAACUUGAACCACUUGGCUAUGGGGCCAGCCCCUCCUCCUUCUUCAUAUUAAUGUUUAGCAUAUAUUCUUGCCAACAUCCACAAAAAGAUGCAAGGUCAGCAACACCUCCGUAUGUGUAUGGAUACCUGUGUGUCUGUAUGUACAUGUAAGUGAGAGACAGAUGGGGACAGAGACUGUUUCGUGGGUGCCCCUGCCUGACUAUGUUACAUGUGUGUUAGAAUUCCCCUAAGUAUCAAGAGGUGUGGCUUCUAGCAUAUAAUUUUAGGCAUAAAGUGUUUCUAGAUGUUCUUUCUAAAUUGGUGGAAGAAACAUAAAAUUAGGAUGGACCUCAAAAAGUCAUAUAGCUGAGCUGCCAUAUAACUACUGCAACCACUAGACUCUUUCUUUUAUCAAUAAACAGAAAUGAUGCUUAAUGUCAAGUAACGAUGCCUAAUGUUAACAGAGUAAUCUAUGCCCAGCACUUUGCAAAUUCAUUCUAUUUAAUCCUCAUAAGAACGUUUAGGUCCUACCUCCACUGUAAAUGGCCCCAUUAUAUGGGGGAAGAAAUUGAGGCUUAGAGGUUAAGAAAAUUGCCCAGGAUCCCACAGCUAGCUCACGUGGGAAGCCGGGAUUUACAGCCAGGCUGUCUGGCUCCAGAGCUGCGUCCUUAAGCAUUAGAUGCUAUGGCCUCAGCACAGAGAUAUGCAAAUCUUUCAUUGCUAGGGACUGUUUUAUUUUGGCCUUAGGUUUGUACGAGGGUCCAUAUAAUAGUUCAAUUUGGGUAGUGCAUUUAUCUGAUCCAGGGCUCUGCUAACAAGGCCUGUGAUAUCAUCAGGAACCAAUCAGAGCUUUGGAUCUGCAUGCCUUGCACUCAGCAUUAACACUCUGAGUUGAUAUAAUUCCAGCAAAAAAGGAAAGAAAUGUGCUAUUUUGUUUGGCACAUAUUGUGUUAUGCUGGCAAAUAUACUACUCCCACUAGGCUUUUAAAAAUACUGAAAA